GCUCAGUAACACGUGGAUAACCUGCCCUUGGGUCUGGGAUAACCCCGGGAAACUGGGGAUAAUACCGGAUAACGCAUAUAUGCUGGAAUGCUUUAUGCGUAAAAUGGAUUCGUCUGCCCAAGGAUGGGUCUGCGGCCUAUCAGGUAGUAGUGGGUGUAAUGUACCUACUAGCCUACAACGGGUACGGGUUGUGAGAGCAAGAGCCCGGAGAUGGAUUCUGAGACAUGAAUCCAGGCCCUACGGGG
rnacentral:rRNA from 1 species